UCCGGCCCGUUUGGCAGUCAGGGCUACUGUAAACAUCCUUGACUGGAAGCUGGUGUUAGGUUUUUGGGCUUUCAGUCGGAUGUUUGCAGCAGCCAACUGCCCUUACCAUCUCAGGAAGGUUUCCACAUUCUAGUGCUAUCCGACUUUACAAACAGAGAUAUAAACCUGUAAACUCCUCAGACCUGAAUAAGAGAGCCAAGAGGAAGCGGGUGUAACACACACCAGAGGACCACAAGGAGACAAGGAAGGAAGGAAGCAUUUCAAGAUCACUUCCUCCUCCACCCCUACAUUUAUCAUCCUAUUAAUAAAAACAGGCUUGCUGCCUGAGUUGGGAAUUAAAUAUCAGCUGUGUUCAAGCCAUGAGUAUAAAACAUUCUGAUGAAACUAACAGAUUAAAACCGGUGAAAAAUUCCAGGCAUAAAUAGUUGAUUAAUCUGAGUUUAUAUGCUGAUAUUUACAAAGGAGGAGACUAAAAUUAAUUCUUCACAUCAUGGUUCAGGUUUUUAUCUAAUGUCGAUCUGAGAUCCAGGGAAUGUAAACACCCUACACUCUCGGCGUGCGCCUCCUGGUGGCCGGGAGUGGGACUGUUUGCACUGCUCGGCUCAGGAGCACAUCCCACAAAAACAAACUACAGCAUUUGUUAGUUUUUAUUCUUCUCAAGCUUAUAAUUACAUAAUUUGUCUGAACAGAUGAAUAUAAUGUACUUUCUGUUCAUUCUGGAAAUAAAAAUAUAUUGACUACGG